GUUUACGGCCAUACCACCCUGAACACGCCCGAUCUCGUCUGAUCUCGGAAGCUAAGCAGGGUCGGGCCUGGUUAGUACUUGGAUGGGAGAUUGCCUGGGAAUACCAGGUGCUGUAAGCU
rnacentral:rRNA from 1 species